GGCGAACGCUGGCGGCGUGCUUAACACAUGCAAGUCGAGCGGUAAGGCUCCUUCGGGAGUACACGAGCGGCGAACGGGUGAGUAACACGUGAGCAAUCUGCCCCUCUCAUCGGAAUAACCAUUGGAAACGAUGGCUAAUGCCGAAUAUGACCUCGGAUCACAUGUUCUGAGGUGGAAAGCUCCGGCGGAGAAGGAUGAGC
rnacentral:rRNA from 1 species